rnacentral:sRNA from 1 species
GUAUCUGAAGCCUGACGAGGAUGAGAACCUCCGGGGGCAAGAGGUUCGACUCGAGCGAAGCGAGAGAACGUUGCGCCAGCAACGGCCCGCAGUGGCAAGUCAUCCUCUGUCACCGGCCG